AGAGUUUGAUCAUGGCUCAGAUUGAACGCUGGCGGCAGGCCUAACACAUGCAAGUCGAGCGGUAGAGAGAAGCUUGCUUCUCUUGAGAGCGGCGGACGGGUGAGUAAUGCCUAGGAAUCUGCCUGGUAGUGGGGGAUAACGUCCGGAAACGGACGCUAAUACCGCAUACGUCCUACGGGAGAAAGCAGGGGACCUUCGGGCCUUGCGCUAUCAGAUGAGCCUAGGUCGGAUUAGCUAGUUGGUGGGGUAAUGGCUCACCAAGGCGACGAUCCGUAACUGGUCUGAGAGGAUGAUCAGUCACACUGGAACUGAGACACGGUCCAGACUCCUACGGGAGGCAGCAGUGGGGAAUAUUGGACAAUGGGCGAAAGCCUGAUCCAGCCAUGCCGCGUGUGUGAAGAAGGUCUUCGGAUUGUAAAGCACUUUAAGUUGGGAGGAAGGGCAGUAAAUUAAUACUUUGCUGUUUUGACGUUACCGACAGAAUAAGCACCGGCUAACUCUGUGCCAGCAGCCGCGGUAAUACAGAGGGUGCAAGCGUUAAUCGGAAUUACUGGGCGUAAAGCGUGCGUAGGCGGUUCGUUAAGUCAGAUGUGAAAGCCCUGGGCUCAACCUGGGAACUGCAUUUGAAACUGGCGAACUAGAGUUGAGUAGAGGGGAGUGGAAUUUCAGGUGUAGCGGUGAAAUGCGUAGAUAUCUGAAGGAACACCAGUGGCGAAGGCGACUCCCUGGACUCAAACUGACGCUGAGGUACGAAAGCGUGGGUAGCAAACAGGAUUAGAUACCCUGGUAGUCC
rnacentral:rRNA from 1 species